rnacentral:rRNA from 1 species
CACGUAGGGCGCAAGCGUUGUCCGGAAUUAUUGGGCGUAAAGAGCUCGUAGGCGGUCUGUUACGUCUGCUGUGAAAACCCGGGGCUUAACCCUGGGCUUGCAGUGGAUACGGGCAGACUAGAGGCAGGUAGGGGAGAAUGGAAUUCCCGGUGUAGCGGUGAAAUGCGCAGAUAUCGGGAGGAACACCAGUAGCGAAGGCGGCUCGCUGGGCCACACCUGACGCUGAGACGCGAAAGCUAGGGGAGCGAACAGG